rnacentral:rRNA from 1 species
CUGAUCAGCAUGCGCGUGUGUGAAGAAGGCCUUCGGGUUGUAAAGCACUUUUGUCAGGAACGAAACGGUGGGGGCUAAUAUCCUCUGCUAAUGACGGUACCUGAAGAAUAAGCACCGGCUAACUACGUGCCAGCAGCCGCGGUAAUACGUAGGGUGCGAGCGUUAAUCGGAAUUACUGGGCGUAAAGCGUGCGCAGGCGGUUGUGCAAGACAGAUGUGAAAUCCCCGGGCUUAACCUGGGAAUUGCAUUUGUGACUGCACGGCUAGAGUGUGUCAGAGGGGGGUAGAAUUCCACGUGUAGCAGUGAAAUGCGUAGAUAUGUGGAGGAAUACCGAUGGCGAAGGCAGCCCCCUGGGAUAACACUGACGCUCAUGCACGAAAGCGUGGGGAGCAAACAGGAUUAGAUACCCUGGUAGUCCACGCCCUAAACGAUGUCUACUAGUUGUCGGGUCUUAAUUGACUUGGUAACGCAGCUAACGCGUGAAGUAGACCGCCUGGGGAGUACGGUCGCAAGAUUAAAACUCAAAGGAAUUGACGGGGACCCGCACAAGCGGUGGAUGAUGUGGAUUAAUUCGAUGCAACGCGAAGAACCUUAACUACCCUUGACAUGUACGGAAGCCUGUUGAAAGGUGGGGGUGCUCGAA